UACGUAGGGUGCAAGCGUUAAUCGGAAUUACUGGGCGUAAAGCGUGCGCAGGCGGUUAUGUAAGACAGUUGUGAAAUCCCCGGGCUCAACCUGGGAACUGCAUCUGUGACUGCAUAGCUAGAGUACGGAAGAGGGGGAUGGAAUUCCGCGUGUAGCAGUGAAAUGCGUAGAUAUGCGGAGGAACACCGAUGGCGAAGGCAAUCCCCUGGACCUGUACUGACGCUCAUGCACGAAAGCGUGGGGAGCAAACAGG
rnacentral:rRNA from 1 species